AGCCUUUUUUAAAUUCUGGGUAGAAUCCACCCUUAUGAAAAAAAUGACACAAAUGUGACUUUAUAUCAUUUUAUUGACAAUAAAAAACAAAAUCAUGCAAUUUAUAAAUGUUUUAUUCAUUACAGUCACAACUGUAUCCAGGUCACAUCAAAGGAAUGACAGUUUCUCACUCCCUGGAAUUCCACUUAAUGGAGGGAGGUGUCAUUAAUUAAGACUGUCACAGCUUCCAAGACACUGAAGUGACAGGCCUAAAAUUUUAUACAUAUUCAUUGCACUGUAGAGGACUUUCAUCUUUCAGCUUCCUCGGCCCCGGGAGAGUUGGGUACCUGCUCAGCGGGGGCAUUUUCUCUAUACAAGAAGAAGAUGGAGACUCGCUACCCACCCGAUAUAUUUUGUCGGACAGUUUUCUGUACAUAGCAGUCACAACUGUAUCCAGGUCACAUCAAAGGAAUGACAGUUUCUCACUCCCUGGAAUUCCACUUAAUGGAGGGAGGUGUCAUUAAUUAAGACUGUCACAGCUUCCAAGACACUGAAGUGACAGGCCUAAAAUUUUAUACAUAUUCAUUGGUAAGUAUAAAGUCUUUGAAAAUUACAAAAUUGACUAAUUCUGGGAGAGGUAAAUAUGUAAGUAUAGGAAUGAGAGUACCAAAUCCCCGGAUGAGCACAUGGCAUUGUUUGUGGCACAAUGUAGAGUUGAGUACUGAAUAGGUCGGCAUUACCUGAUUGGCUGAAAUGA